CAGACGUGUCAUCCCCAGAUACAAUGGACAAUAUGCUAUUAUAAUUGUAUGGCAUUGUCCUUACUGUUUGGAGAUAAUACUGCUGAC
rnacentral:pre_miRNA from 1 species